UGGGGAAUAUUGGGCAAUGGGCGCAAGCCUGACCCAGCAACGCCGCGUGAAGGAAGAAGGCUUUCGGGUUGUAAACUUCUUUUGUCAGGGACGAGGAGAAGACGGUACCUGUAGAAUAAGCUCCGGCUAACUACGUGCCAGCAGCCGCGGUAAUACGUAGGGAGCGAGCGUUAUCCGGAUUUAUUGGGUGUAAAGGGUGCGUAGACGGGAAUACAAGUUAGUUGUGAAAUACCUCGGCUUAACUGAGGAACUGCAACUAAAACUAUAUUUCUUGAGUACAGGAGAGGUAAGUGGAAUUCCUAGUGUAGCGGUGAAAUGCGUAGAUAUUAGGAGGAACACCAGUGGCGAAGGCGACUUACUGGACUGAAACUGACGUUGAGGCACGAAAGUGUGGGGAGCAAACAGGAUUAGAUACCCUGGUAGU
rnacentral:rRNA from 1 species